GUAGUGGGGAGUCUCUAAUGGUGGUUGCCCUCUCUCUGUUUCCUAUGAUUUCCUUUUCCAUUUUCACCAAACGGGGCACUAAUAAACCACCAUUCAUCUUAAGUGUUUAAUUGGUCUAGCUCUGAUCUAUACACACACACACACAUAUAUAUAUAUAUAUAUAUACACACACAAUAGGUGAAAAAGGGUUUAGGAUUUAAAACCUAACCCUUUUUCCCUGCUGCUUCUUCUUCCUCAUCAUCAAAAUUAUUAUUAUUAUUAUUAUUAUUAUUAUUACUCCCCUUUUUGCUGCUUCUUCUUCUUCUCCUUCCUCAUCAGCAAAAUUAUUAUUACUCCCUCCGUUACAAUUUAUUGUUACUGUAUCGGAUGAGAGGCUGUGAUGAUUAAGGUGUCGUCUAGAGUUCGUCGGGGUAAUGGAGCAGCCCGUAUCUUGGCGGGGCGACCCGGAAGGUACUAUUUUAAUAGUGCAACUGCGGUUUGCAGCCAUGGCGGUUGCUUUGUCUCCGUUCCCCUGAUUUUAUCACAGAUCUGAGCCUCAAUAUACCCCCAAAAAAGUACUAUUUAUGUUUGAUAAUUUCAAAUUUUGCUUUAAUGAAGUUACAUUUGCUUUAAGUUUUAGUUUGCUGACUCUUUUGUUUAGAAUUUGUACAGGUAGCUAUUAAAGUCAUUAUAUUUUUACAAUUAUACAAUGCCUAUUUUACAUUCACUUAGACUCUUUUGUUUAGAAUUUGUACAUGUAGCUAUUGAAGUCAUUACACAACAACAACCCAGCAUAAUCCGAUUUAGUGGGGUCUGGGUCCGGAGAGGGUAGCGUGUACGCAGACCUGACUCCUACCCUGCUAGAGAGGCUAUUUCCAAAUAGAAAUCCGGCAUCCCUCCAAUAACUUAACACCUUGCUCUUGGGGGAGACUCGAACUCACAACAUCUCGGUUGGAAAUGGGGUUCCUUCUUUAUUGAAGUCAUUAUAUUUUUACAAAUAUAGAAUGCCUAUUUUACAUUCACUUAGAUGAUCAUAUUAUAGAAUUUUUUAUUUAAAACAAAGGAGAUUGGAUUUUGUUUGAAGGAAGUUUUUCUUUUCAGUUAACUAAGGUGAACAUCUGACAUUUUAAGUUUUUUAGGAAAUCGAAAACGAGAAAAAGGACAGGGGGGAAUGUUUAGUUGACCAACUUGGGUAAAAAGAAAAUAUUUACAGUCAUGAGUGCAUAAUCUGUACUACUGAUUAAAGAAGAAAAGUUGUGGUUUUAGUAUAAAUCAAUCUGUAAAAUCCCUCAUAUUAUUCCCUUUAGAUAUUAACUUAAGAUAUAUAUUGAGAAAUGAUCCAACUUUAGAAGAGUAAUGGAAUAUUAAAGUAUUUGUCUUACCUUUAAACCCUCACCUUUUCAUCUUGCUCUUGUCCUCUUUUUCUUUUCUGUUGUUUUCUUUUGUUGAUAGGUGGCGUAAUUUUAUUUCUACCACAUGAACAGAAAUUGGAAUUAGCAACUCAAGAGUAAUCAGUCAAUGGAAACAAUAAAUGAGAAUGAGGUAACAUAGGGAUGAGAAGUAUCUAGGGAUGUUACCUCCAUCUGCAUGCAAAUGAUUACUCACUGUUCCGCUUUCUUUGUCAUUAUAUCGCCCUCACAAAAUCAGUAUCAGCUGGUGCUUAUCUGUAGGCUGUGAUGAUAAAGCUUGUUGAGUUGAUCGGGUUUUGGUAUACUAGACCCGUAUCUUGGCAGGGCAAACCAAGACGCCUUGUAAGCUGAGUAAUGAGUAUUGGAACGAAAUAGAUUGUGAUUCAGGUUGUUGUUGUUGUUGUAUGCUACUCUGGUUUGCAGCCAUGCCGGUGUCCUUUUACUUUACCCGAUUGUGCGACUGAUCUGAGCCUACUUGUGUACUCAACCAAGAAUAAUCAGUCAGAGUGAAAUAUAUGUAAAAACUCUGAGAAUAAGAAUGAGGCAGCAUAGUGAUGCCAGUUUGUAUUGAUGGUUGCCCCAUCUGGAUGCCAAUGAUUUCUCAAUGAUAUGCUUCUGUCAAAGCUGGAACCUUUAUUUAUUGACGAUCUGCUGUGUUCUUGUAAUUUCUGCCUUUAAUUUCGUGGUCAAUAUCGUUUUCCCUUUCAAGAAUCAGAAUCAUAUGAUCAAUAUUAUGAUGCUUUUGUGUAGGCUCUGAUGAUAAACUUCUUGGAUUCAUCGUGUUUGGGUUAAAUGGAGCCAAAACCAGGUCUCUCAUAAGCUUAGAUUAUUGGGUAUUGAAAUAGAGCAAAAUCGAUAUUGAGGAGUCAUAAAGUUGAUCCGGUCGGUUUUGCUAUUGUGGCGUAGUUCUUGUUGUAUUAUGUUAUCAUGGUUUGCAGCUAUGACGGUGUUCCUUUUCUUUACCUGAUUUUAUGUCGUAUCUGCGCCUACAGAUGUUCUCUCCCACUUUAUUGAUAGAUAGGUAUAUUGAUUGAUAGAUAGAUGAAAGUGAUGGAAAUAACUUGUAAAUACAAAUGCAAAUAACUUAAAGAUAUGCUUGGAGAAAGGGGAAGGUAAAUGGGGUAAAAACAUGAAUCUAUUUUGGAUUUGUGAUGACAUUUCUUUGGGCAAGUGACUGAAGAAUUGACUUCACUUGGUGAGGCAGUAAAUACUAAAUAAAAUCCACAGUUGGUAUUUAAUUUUUGUGCUUCUUAUUUUCUCAAUUCUUGAAAUUCCCUUGCCUGUUAUUUUUCUCCUUUUCUUGAUAAAAGUCCUUUGCCUGUAACUUCUCUUGAGUCUUGUCAUAUUGGUUCUAUCUCCUGCAGGUAGUGAUAUCUAGCUACACUGGUGUCUGGUAUUCAGGGCUUCUGCAAUAAUAUGCUCUUAAUUCCCAUUGCUGCUUACACCCGACAUAGUAACUACUAUGAUGGUUAUUGAAUAUAGUAAUUUGACAUAGUUAUCUUUCUUUCUAUGGACAACAGUGCAGCUGGUAGUUACAGUUGGUGAUGCAGUUGGCAAUUUGGAUCAGCCUAUUUGUUGGCUUGAUGAGCUUCUGUGGCAUUGAGAUGAUGAAGUAUGUUUGGUGGAUGUUCAUGAGCUGAAAUUUUCACCGAGUGUAAUGGUUUUCUUUCCCUUUGUUGUUUCACUAAGCCUGACAGUUUUCGGCAAGAAUUUCUGUUGUUUAGAUAUAUAGUUCAUAUUUGUUUCCACAGCACCUUAUCAGACAAUUUAUGAUACCACGAGACAGUUUAUAAUCAAAUCAAAAUUACUCCUUGAACUCAAAUUUUUCCGACAUUGCACAUAGAUAGAUAUUUAUGUGAGAAAUGGUAGAAGUUUGACGAAUAUUGCUUUUUGAACCUAUAAUUCUAAAAGUACAAUAUAUUUCAGUGCGAAAAUCGUAUAUUCACUCCAAACUGUGAUAAUUUCAUGGGGGGGGGGGGGGCCUUUUUGGCNNNNNNNNNNNNNNNNNNNNNNNNNNNNNNNNNNNNNNNNNNNNNNNNNNNNNNNNNNNNNNNNNNNNNNNGGGGGGGGGGGGGGGGGCCUAUUUGGCCGCCUCAUUUAAGCUAUACUUAUAUUUUUAAAAUUAGGUAACCUAUACCCUAAUUUUGACAACUUCAUAAAACAUUUAAAUCAUUUAAUGUUAGAAAGAGAGAUAUAACAUCUCCAGUUAAAUUCUAUUACCAUUUGUUUGUCUCAUCAAUUGUACAAAUUUCCUUUGUCCCUGCUCUUGAAACUUUUGAAUGGUGGUUUGUUUGCAAAUGCCAAAGGGGGAUGAUAAUAAUAAUAAAUAAAAUGAAGAACUACAGAUAAAAACUUUUGAUUUUGUCUAAAGUUUGCACUGCAAAUUAAAGAACUUCAGUCUAAUUUAUUUAAAGUUUGCACUACACACUAAAGAACUUUAGAUUAAUUUACGAAUUGAAGCUUUUUUGAUUGCUUUUGCUGGUCAGGCCAAACUUCAGACGUAAAUUUCUGAAGUUUUACUUUGAUAAGGUCACACUUCAGGCAAAAAAUUUUCUUGUUCAAACUUUAGACUAAAUUCUUGUUACUUCAGGCCCCAUAUGUCUGAAUUUACCCGAAAAAUAGGUACGCUUGUAAAUUUUUUUUGCAAAGUGAGUAUAAGUUAAAUGGUAACCAAAAAAUUGGGUAUAGAUGCAAAUGCCCCUCCAAAUCUAGGAAUGGGUAUCCUAGGUUUGGAGAGGGCAACCCGGUAUCCUCCUUGAUAGGAAUGAUGUUAUUUAUUAGAGCUACUUUCAUUAAUAGCACACUAUUAAAAAUAUAAUACAAAAGAUUAGCUUUAAUUAAUGAUUAACAAAUAUGACAGUAAAAUAGUUAUACAUAUAGCAGAUUUAAUUCAAUUCAAAUCAGAAAGAAUCAACCUGUUUAAAAAGGCAGUCCUAGUAUUUAAUAUAUCCUAUUUUUUCUCUCCAUUCCAUAUCAUGUUUUAUAUUUUUUUUAGAAAUCAAUCCAUUCCAUAACAGAUUUUUCCUUUCCAUACAUGGAGCUUUUUAUAUAAUGUAAUGUAGCAAAUUAUACAUCUUUAUAUUCUAAUAAAAUAAAAUACAUAUAUUUUAUGAAAAAAAUAUAAUGUAUGUUUGUGGUGUAUACAUUACAAAUCAUAUAUUUUUUUUAGGAAAAUUCAUACAUACAUAUAUAUAUAUAUAUAUAUAUAUAACAAGGUAAAUCAAUAAGAAAUAUNNNNNNNNNNNNNNNNNNNNNNNNNNNNNNNNNNNNAUUUAAUUAUAUAUCAUCGAUAAAUUCCAUAACAUCAUCAUGGUUCUGAACUUUCGACAAUAAUCGGAAGUACAUGUAUAUAAGGGGCCGUGUAUGUAUUCAGCCUAUUAUUACCAUUGUUCUUAUUGUUAUUGUAGCGGAUGAGGCUGUGAUGAUUAAGAUUGUCUAGAGUUCGUGUCGGGGCAAUGGAGCAGCCCGUAUCUUGGCGGGCUGACCCCGGAAAGGCCUAUUUUUACAAUGCAACUGAUGGUUGCAGCCAUGGCGGUUGCAUUGUCUUCUUCACCCCGAUUUUAUCACAGAUUUGAGCCUCAAAANNNNNNNNNNNNNNNNNNNNNNNNNNNNNNNNNNNNNNNNNNNNNNNNNNNNNNNNNNNNNNNNNNNNNNNNNNNNNNNNNNNNNNNNNNNNNNNNNNNNCCCCCCCCCCCCCUCAAAUAAUAAUAAAAAAUAAAAUUCCUUUAAUGAAGUUACAUUUGCUUUUCAUUUUAGUUUAGAAAUUUCUGUAAAGAUAGUGAUUGAAGUCAUUAUAUUACAAUUUACAUAUGUACAGUGCCUUUUUUCCCGUCAUGUAGAUGAUUACAUAAUAAACAGUUUUGUCUUUUUUUAAAUAAAGGUGAAUAGAUUUGUUUCAAGAAAGUUUUUGUUCCAAGUUAAAAUUCUCUGAUAUUUUGGACUAAAAUGGUGAAAGAAUGGACUUUUGUGUUGAAAGAUUUUCUCACGAACUCUAGACUGAAAGAAUGAGGCGGUGGGGAGUCUUUAACGGUGGUUGCCCUCUCUCUGUUUUCUGCCUAUGAUUUCCUUUUCCAUUUUGCUGUACUAAUAAACCACCAUUGUUGAAAAUGGACAUAGAUUGCCCCUUAAACUUGCAACUGUUAAAAUCCCAAUUUUACAGUUUAGGGUUUACUGUCUGACCCCAUAAUCUGCUUAUGCUUCUUCACUUCUUUCCUCAUUUUCCUCUUCCUCUUCCUCAUGGCGGGCUUUUACUGUGACAGAUGAUGAAGCUGUGAUGAUAAAAGGUGUUUAGAGCUGGAUCAGGCAUUGAAACGACCCGUAUCUUGGCAGGGUGACCCGGAAGGCAUCUUCAUGGUUGCAACCGAGGUAUGCAGCCAUGGAGGUUGCAUUGUCUCUGCUGAUCUUAUCACAGAUCUGAGCCUCAAAAUUGAGGGGUUUAUUUGGCCCUUUUCCCUUUUAAAAAUGGAUGGAGACCAAAAUUGUUAGAUUUUUUUUUGUAUAUUAAAGGACCAUCAUAAACCUCCUCAAAGAUGACGGAUCAAUUUUCUCAAGAGAAGUGUAUGCUUUUUACGUACUGUCGGACUAUUUGAUCAUUUUCUGGAAAAUCUGCUAUAUUACCCUCCAUUUGAAUUGGAUUAGACCAGAAAUGAGAGAAUGAGGCAACAGAGCGUAUGGGAUUUUUUUACAAGGGUGGUUGCCCGUCUCU
rnacentral:lncRNA from 1 species